GGCGCUAUAGCCAAGUGGUUACGGCGACAGAUUCGAACUCGUGUUGUUAUCUGUUCCUCUUUGAGGGCGCAGGUUCAAAUCCUGCUGGCGUCG
rnacentral:tRNA from 1 species